rnacentral:rRNA from 1 species
CGUGCAGGCGGAAAAGCAAGUGUCGGGUGAAAGCCCUCGGCUCAACCGGGGAACUGCCAGGCAAACUGCUUUUCUUGAGGCAGGUAGAGGUGAGUGGAACAACUGGUGGAGCGGUGAAAUGCGUAGAUAUCAGUUGGAACGCCGGUGGCGAAAGCGGCUCACUGGACCUGUCCUGACGCUGAGACGCGAAAGCGUGGGUAGCGAACAGGAUUAGAUACCCUGGUAGUCC